AACCCUAGCCGAAGUCGACCUAGUUCCGCGAGAGAGCUCCGCUUUCUUUCGGCGUUCUCAGAAAUGGCGAAGUCGAAGAACCACACGGCUCACAACCAGUCCUACAAGGCCCACAAGAACGGAAUCAAGAAGCCCCGGAGGCACAGGCAAACCUCCACCAAGGGGAUGGAUCCGAAGUUUCUGAGGAACCAAAGGUACGCGAGGAAGCACAACAAGAAGAACGGAGCGUCGGGCUCUGAAGCUGAGGAGUAGAGCAUGGAAUAUGGGAUGGGGUUUCUUUUAGAAUUGUCGCAAACUAGAGUUUUGUUCUAAUUCCACCUCUAUAUUGACUCUUGAAGUCUUCUGAAAAUUGUGUGCUAACGUUUUAUUUCUACUUGAUAUGCACUACCAGCUGAUACUGUUGACUUGUUUCAGCCAUUUUUUUUUUGCUACGUUUUAGUUACAUAUUUAAUCUUCGCACUGUGCCAAUUAUCUUUUUGUUUAUUUUUUUAUGGAUCUGAUAAGUUUGAGUGCCAAA